GACUAAAAUGAAACCUAGGUGACU
rnacentral:siRNA from 1 species